rnacentral:lncRNA from 1 species
GCGGGCUCGUGGACUUACUUUUUCUUCACCCUGUUCUUUAGGCGGGCACCUGGAAUUACUUUUUCUUCACCCUAUUCUUCAGGUGGGCUCCUGGACUUCAUUUUUCUUCACCUUAUUCUUCAGGCGGGAUCCUGAACUUUCUUCACCUUGUUGUUCAGUGAGCUCUUGGACUUCCUUUUUAUUUACCCUAUUCUUCAGGCGGGCUCCUGGACUUCUUUUUUCUCUUCACCCUGUUCUUUGGGCGGGCUUCUGUACUUACUUUCCUCUUUACCCUAUUUUUUAGGUGGGCUCCUGAACUUUGUUUUUCUCCACCCUGUUCUUCAGGCGGGUUCCUGAACUUUCUUUUUCUUUACCCUGUUUUCAGGCGAGAUCCUAGACUUUCUUUUUCUUCAGACGAGCUCCUAGACUUCCUUUUUCUUCACCAUGUUCUUCAGGCGGGCUCCUAGACUUACUUUUUCUUCACCUUGUUCUUCUGGCGGGCUCCUGGACUUGCUUUUUCUCUUCACCCUGUUCUUCAGGCGGGCACCCAGACUUCAUUUUUCUUCACCCU